AGCGAACGCUGGCGGCAGGCCUAACACAUGCAAGUCGAACGAACCUUUCGGGGUUAGUGGCGGACGGGUGAGUAACACGUGGGAACGUGCCUUUAGGUUCGGAAUAACUCAGGGAAACUUGUGCUAAUACCGAAUGUGCCCUUCGGGGGAAAGAUUAAUCGCCUUUAGAGCGGCCCGCGUCUGAUUAGCUAGUUGGUUGAGGUAAUGGCUCACCAAGGUGACGAUCAGUAGCUGGUCUGAGAGGAUGAUCAGCCACAUUGGGACUGAGACACGGCCCAAAAUCCUACGGGAGGCAGCAGUGGGGAAUCUUGCGCAAUGGGCGAAAGCAUGACGCAGCCAUGCCGCGUGAAUGAUGAAGGUCUUAGGAUUGUAAAAUUCUUUCACCGGGGACGAUAAUGACGGUACCCGGAGAAGAAGCCCCGGCUAACUUCGUG
rnacentral:rRNA from 1 species